UCCUGUCCUUACAGGGAAUGCCUUUGCUGUUGGUUGGAGAGUAUUUGGAUUUCUGGGCUCGUGAGCCACUGCAUAUGGUUCUUCAUGAAUUGUUGAGUCUGAACAUAGAAGAACUUUCCUUGGAGCUCCACCAUAACCUGACCCACUAUCUAUCUGGGUACAUCUGUCUGUAGCUAUCAUUCCAGAGACAAUAGUCUGCCUUAAGGAGGGUGAAUGCUGCACUAAAGCUACUAUGUUUUUAUGCACAGGAGGUAGAGGCAAUAAUGAUUUUGUUAAAGCAA